GACGAACGCUGGCGGCGGGCUUAACAAAUGCAAGUCGAACGAAGUGGCGAACGGGUGAGUAAUACGUGGGUAACCUGCCCUCCUUUUUGGGAUAAGCCUUGGAAACGGGGUCUAAUACCGAAUAAAGGGGGUUGGGCUCGCGGCCUAUCAGCUUGUUGGGGGGGUGAUGGCCUACCAAGGCGGUGACUGGUAGCCGGCCUUAGAGGGUGACCGGCCACAUUGGGACUGAGAUACGGCUCAGACGCCUACGUGAGGCAGCAGUGGGGCAUAUUGCACAAUGGGCGAAAGCCUGAUGCAGCGACGCCGCGUGGGGGAUGAAUGCUUUCGGGUUGUAAACCUCUUUCGAUUCGAAACGGGUAGGUGGAGAAGAAGCGCCGGCUAACUACGUGUCAGCCGCCGCGGUAAUAC
rnacentral:rRNA from 1 species